UGGGGAAUAUUGGACAAUGGGCGCAAGCCUGAUCCAGCCAUGCCGCGUGUGUGAAGAAGGCCUUUUGGUUGUAAAGCACUUUAAGCGAGGAGGAGGCUACUGAGAUUAAUACUCUUGGAUAGUGGACGUUACUCGCAGAAUAAGCACCGGCUAACUCUGUGCCAGCAGCCGCGGUAAUACAGAGGGUGCGAGCGUUAAUCGGAUUUACUGGGCGUAAAGCGUGCGUAGGCGGCUUCUUAAGUCGGAUGUGAAAUCCCUGAGCUUAACUUAGGAAUUGCAUUCGAUACUGGGAAGCUAGAGUAUGGGAGAGGAUGGUAGAAUUCCAGGUGUAGCGGUGAAAUGCGUAGAGAUCUGGAGGAAUACCGAUGGCGAAGGCAGCCAUCUGGCCUAAUACUGACGCGGAGGUACGAAAGCAUGGGGAGCAAACAGG
rnacentral:rRNA from 1 species